AUUGAACGCUGGCGGCAGGCCUAACCCAUGCAAGUCGAGCGAGCGGCGGACAGGUGAGGAAUGUCUGGGAAACUGCCUGAUGGGGGGGGAUAACUACUGGAAACGGUGGCUAAUCCCGCAUACCAUCUGGUGUGCCCAGAUGGGAUUAGCUAGUGGGUGGGGUAACGGCUCACCUAGGCGAAGAACCCUAGCUGGUGUGGGAGGAUGAACAGCCAACUGGGAACUGGACAACGGUCCCGACUACUAGGGUAGGAAGCAGGGGGGACUAGUGGACAAUGGGCGCAAGCCUGAGACAUAAAUGCCGUGGUGGUGAAGAAGGCCUGCGGGUUGGAAAGCACUUGCAGCGGGGAGGCGUUACCCGAAGAAGAAGAACCGGCUAACUCCGUGCCAGCAGCCGCGGUAAUAC
rnacentral:rRNA from 1 species